rnacentral:tRNA from 1 species
AUUUAAAUAGUUUAAUAAAAAAUUUUAGUUUGUGGAACUGAAGAUAUGAAAUUUCAUUUUAAGUA